CAGCAUACUGCCGUGAAUACGUUCCCGGGCCUUGUACACACCGCCCGUCACACCAUGAGAGUUGGGAAUACCCGAAGCCUGUGAGCUAACUGUAAGGAGGCAGCAGUCGAAGGUAGAAUCAAUGAUUGGGGUGAAGUCGUAACAAGGUACC
rnacentral:rRNA from 1 species